UACAGAGUGGAUAAACCCCAGAAGGCCAGAACAUUGUGAUACAAAAUACAAACAUACAUACUCAUUAAAUUUCCAGAGCAAACAAAAAAAAAUGGUUUCCAAAAGAAAUGUAAUUAUAGGUGUUUUGUUAGUUAUAGUGCUUCUCACCUCCUGGGAAGUUGCAGAUGCUGCAGAGACGUCUAAUAGAGCGAGAUCAAAGAAAUCUGAGAAGGAAGUGAUAGGAACCGAUAAUGAGUAUGAUUGUGGCUCCGGUUGCUGUGACAUUAAAGAUGUCUCAUAUUGCCGUUGCUGCGGUUAAUAACAUCAACAUCCAACCAAUCCCGAGAUAUAAUGUUGGGUCAAUUAAAUUUACAGUCCACAUUGCGAUUUGGUGAUGAUAGUAUAUGGUAUGUUGUCAUUAAUUUUGAAAUUCAAAUCCCAGAAUGGUUCAUGAAUUUCAAGUAAGGAACUCAUUUCCACUCCAAUUCAAGUAUCAUAGAAUAUUUUAUCUGAUACUAGUAUUUCAUUUGGUUUUUCUAUUUUCAACUCAUAUAUAUGUUGUUUUGCAAACAUUAGGAUGUGUUUACCAACUUUUGCAGAGUUAAAUGAUGGCUAAUUUAUGUUUUUA